CCCAGCCCUCUCAGAGCCCCUGGCUAAGGGCAGACAGAGGUAAACCAUCAAAAUCUGUUGUGGUGAGAGAUCCAGAAGUGGCCCGAGCCAGGGAGGCCUCCCAGAGGAGGCGGCAUCAGGACGGAGAAGGUGCUUCCCACCAUGGCAGGCAUGCGGGAGGGCAGGGCGGCCUCAGGAGGCUGCGGACCCCAGAGGUCCCACGUGCCCGGGCUCUGCAGACUGCCAAGUUGCAGACAGCCUGAGCCACGGUCAAAAUCAAGCAUUUUCUGGGAGGAGCCCCAUAGCCAGGAGGGAGGGGUGUAGUCACCCGCUCAGGGCCUUCACAGCGACUCCUAAACCCCGUGUCCUCUGGAUCACCCUGGUCUGCCGCCACCGGAGGAAGCUCAUCCCCAUCGGCGUUGUCGGCAGCAUCGCGUGGUGCCGGGUACCAUUGACUGCACGCUCACUGGGUACCAGGUGCUGGGCCAGGCCCUUUGCAUGUGUGUCUGCAAGCUCGGUGCCCACUUUACAGGCGCUUCUCUGAAGGAUGGAAAAAUCGAUGCCCACAGAAGAGCCGGCGCAGGGAAGGUACGGACAGCGCUGGGGAGAAGACCAAGGGCAGGAGGGAAUCAGGCGCCUGGGGUCCCUCUGGCCGCCUGUGGCGCUGACCGUUCCCCAUCUCCCAGAACAAACUCAGAGGCGGGCGUGGUCAGCCCAGGAGUCAGCGGUGUCCUUUUGUUUUUUAAUAUUUUGUUCUGAUUACGAAAGCUAUAUAUGUUCAUUGUAGAAAACAAAAAUCACCAGAUCCACGCCAGAGGUACCCUGUUAAUGUGCAGAGUAAAUCCUUCCAGCCUUUUUCCUCUGCACCUCGAAUGCAGCUUUUAUUUUUGCAAACAUAGGACGUGCUCAGCUGCUUUUUUCUUCCAACACUGUGCCACCAACAUCCUGUGCCAUUUCCUGGCGCGGCAUCAUUGUAUCGGAUGGCUGCGCCCUGAGUCGUCCUGGUGGACGGUGGAGGCGCCGCCCAGGGCUUGGGGUCAGAAUCUCAGCCCCUUGGCUGUGUGACCUCAGGCAGGUGGCCUACACCCUAUGACCUCUCCAGUCCUCCUCUGUGUGGUGGGGCUGCGGAUACCUGCCUUACAGCCCGGUGGUGAGAACUGCAGGAGAAAAGAGGCAGGAAGCACUCAUUCCAUGCAGAGCACAUGGAAAGCAUUCCGUCAGCUGUGGGUAUUAUUAUUUUUCAUCUUCAUUGUGUUAUGCAGCUAAACCAUCAUUCUUUAGCCAAUCCUCUAUGAUUGAACA